rnacentral:misc_RNA from 1 species
AUGGCCUAUAACUCCUUUUUAUUGAGUUUGGUUGGUGUAUAUCGCAAUUAAAUCCCUUGGACUCAGCCACACGUUGAUCCAUUUUCCAUCCAACACCUCACAGUCAAGUCACCUGAUGAGUCCUGUUCGUUAAGUCAACUUAUUCAUUUCAUCUCCACUUCACUUUCCUUAGGCAAUAAUUUUCCUUGGUUUGUUAAGCCUCAUCAUUUGCCAUCUUCAUCACCUAAAGAAUAAAUAAACCAAAAUCAGCAUGAAUGAUUGCCUAAGCUCCUGAGCAAAUUCAGGUUAACCCUCCAUAUAUGGCUUCAUUGUUUGAGAGGGAAUGAUGGGUUAAAGGGCUUUUGGGCCUCGAAUCUGUAAUCUGGUUUUAGCAUCAGUCAGAUUAAAGCUUUGGCUCUCAGCCACACAUUCAUACUCAGUCACCAGCUGAUUCACUGUUAUUGAUCAGCAUCCCCUUGUACACAGUUGCCGCUACAAUUUCUCCAUAUUGGCCGGAAGCGUUCCUUCUUAAUUCUCUCUUAAGUCACUUAAUUAACAAGAGAAGGGUGGAAAACAAGUAAAUGGCCUCAGCUGCAGUUGACCAAGUGAUUGGAAUAAUAGUGUCUGCUCUUCAGAAGGAAGCAACAUUAUUAGUAGGUGUCAGAGAUGAACUUGACGAAAUCAGGAAAGAACUACAAAUCGCGAAAUCUUUUCUACAGGAUGCUGAGAGAAAGCCUGUCAUGUCAGACGUAGAGAAGGCAUGGGUUGCAGAUGUGAGGGACAGUGCGC